rnacentral:rRNA from 1 species
UACGGGGGGGGGCAAGCGUUGUUCGGAAUUACUGGGCGUAAAGGGCUCGUAGGCGGCCAACUAAGUCAGACGUGAAAUCCCUCGGCUUAACCGGGGAACUGCGUCUGAUACUGGUUGCUUGAAUCCGGGAGAGGGAUGUGGAAUUCCAGGUGUAGCGGUGAAAUGCGUAGAUAUCAGGAAGAACACCAAUGGCGAAGGCAGCUCUCUGGGACGGUACUGACGCUGAGACGCGGAAAAGCGUGGGGAGGCGAACAGG